UACAGAGGGUGCGAGCGUUAAUCGGAAUUACUGGGCGUAAAGCGUGCGUAGACGGCUAUCUAAGUCGGGUGUGAAAGCCCCGGGCUCAACCUGGGAAUUGCAUUCGAGACUGAAUAGCUAGGGUGCGGUAGAGGGAAGCGGAAUUUCCGGUGUAGCGGUGAAAUGCGUAGAUAUCGGAAGGAACAUCAGUGGCGAAAGCG
rnacentral:rRNA from 1 species